rnacentral:rRNA from 1 species
AUGGACGCCAAGCCGAUGGUGGCCACUGACCGUGGCGAUGUCAAGAAGUUGAAGGAUCUGCUGAACCAGGAGGAUGCCAUGGCGAUGGUUGUGGUGACGGCGACGAGCAAGAAGCCUCCCGGGGAGGACCAACCCCCUGCCGGUAACAUUAUCAACCCCCUACUUCUGGCAUCUGCGCGUGGGGGCUCCUGGGAAGCGCUGAAUCUCCUUCUGGAGAGGGAAGACGCAAAAAAGCCACAAAUGAUGGUUCCUACUCGCAAGUUUCUUCAGUUGAUAGCGAGAAGCAGCAGCGCCCAGGGAAGAAUCCCGGUGUCAGCUGCUGGUGAUGUAGAAGAGGGCGUCGACGACCAGCCUGUAUCUUCGGUUGCAGCUGGAGCACUCCUCAAGGGCCUCACCCCUCAAGGGGAUACUGCACUGCAUGUGGUCACCAAUGGAGGGGGCCGAAAUUUCUUGAAGUAUGCGGGCAUCAUCUGUAACAGGGACAAGAGAAUCCUGUUUUCCAGGAAUCACAAUGGCGACACACCGUUACAUCGUGCUGCCAGAGUUGGGCAACCCAGAAUGGUUUCUUAUCUCAUUCAUCUAGCUGCUCGUGAAGGUGCCGACACGAAGCUCCGGUUUUUGAGAAUGGAAAAUAACCGUCACGAGACGGCCCUCCACCAGGCUGUACGAUUUGAAUACGGUAGAGGUCUGCGUUAUGAGGAGAAGGAAGCAUUUAUUGGUGCUGCUGACCCCGCCAGAGAAGAAAAGAAUAAGCGUGACGAGAUAGGGGGUGUCCUAAAUGAAGACGGUAAAAGUCUGGGUGAUGCGGAGGGCACACCAGAAGAAAGGAAUAUUGUGAAGCUGCUAAUGGGUGCUGAUGCCGAAUUGGCUAAUUAUCCUGCAGAUGGUGUUUCACCCUUGUAUCUAGCCAUCUUGCUGGGGAAGAGUACCAUUGCACUGAUUCUAUAUCAUAUGAGUCGUGGCAAUCUCUCCCAUUCCGGAGCAGAUGGACAAAAUGCCUUGCAUGUUGCGGUUCUUCGGGACCGAGUGAUGGUAGAGUUCCUAGUGCAUUGGAACAGAAGCCUUACUGCACAAGUGGACAAAGAUGGGAGCACGCCGCUUCACUUUGCAUCAUCGGUGUACUUCCGGACUGGCUCGGAUCUGCGUUUUAUGUUCCUCCGCACUCUCCCUUGGUGUCGUUUUGUAUGGAUUCCCUGGGGAAAAAAGAUACACGAUCUAGUAUUCAAUGCGAACCCCGCCGCAUUGUACCAAGCUGACAAGGACGGAUAUUUUCCCAUACAUGUGGCUGCCUCUGUAGGUCUCAAAGAUGUCGUGCAAUUCUUCUUUAAUGAUUACCCAGAUAGUGCCGGAUUGUGUGACGCUAAAGGAAGGACGUUCCUUCAUGUUGCCGUCGACAAGGAAGAAUUUGACAUUGUCUCGUAUGUAUGUCGAACUCCAUCUUUAGCUUGGAUUCUGAAUAUGCAAGACAAUGAUGGGAACACGGCAUUGCACUUAGCUAUCGAGGCUCGGAAUUUCAAGAUUUUUUGUGCUCUAUUUGGGUCUCGACGGGUAUGUCUGAAUCGGAUAAAUAACCAAGGGGAAACUCUCCGUGAUCUAGCCAAAAGUAAGGUUCCACACGGAAUAAGUUAUAUAGAGAACCCUGAGUGCAAAAUACACGAGGUAUUAUGGCGUGCUGAAACGAGCACGGUGCCCUUCGAGAGGAUAAGCUUCAUGAAAGAUACAUGA